GACGAACGCUGGCGGCGUGCUUAACACAUGCAAGUCGAACGGAAAGGCCCUGCUUUUGUGGGGUGCUCGAGUGGCGAACGGGUGAGUAACACAUGAGUAACCUGCCCUUGACUUUGGGAUAACUUCAGGAAACUGGGGCUAAUACCGGAUAGGAACUCCUUCUGCAUGGUGGGGGUUGGAAAGUUUCGGCGGUUGGGGAUGGACUCGCGGCUUAUCAGCUUGUUGGUGGGGUAGUGGCUUACCAAGGCUUUGACGGGUAGCCGGCCUGAGAGGGUGACCGGCCACAUUGGGACUGAGAUACGGCCCAGACUCCUACGGGAGGCAGCAGUGGGGAAUAUUGCAAAAUGGGCGGAAGCCUGAUGCAGCAACGCCGCGUGCGGGAUGACGGCCUUCGGGUUGUAAACCGCGUUCGCCUGUGACGAAGAGUGAGUGACGGUAAUGGGUAAAGAAGCACCGGCUAACUACGUG
rnacentral:rRNA from 1 species